rnacentral:misc_RNA from 1 species
ACCAAAGCCCGUAACCGCCUCCGGACGUGACGGGCGGCUGGUAUCCUCCUUCUGAGGGGUGUAUGGCGCAGCUUGGGCCGGUCCUUCGGGGUCGCGAAUCCCCAGUGCUGCGGCGGACCAUCCCUUGGGCAAUUCAGUGGGGGCAAUUGGAUGGCUUGUAGGCACCUUCGGCGGCUUCGGUCCCGGAGGUGGCUCGGGCCGGGUGCUGGGCUUCGGUCCACAUCCCGACCUUUUAACUAGCUCUGAUACCUCUUAGUUGAGGCUUGCCGGGUGGCCUUUCGUUCUUCGGGGCGGAGGGUCUUCCGGGGAAGAUAGUUACCUGGUUGAUUCUGCCAGUAGUCAUAUGCUUGUCUCAA